UGUGACCCUGUCAGGGAAUGCCUACAGACGCCCAUACUCCAAGACUUUUCACUGGAAAUGUGGAAUUGUCACCAACUUACUUUGGCUUUUCAACCUUAAAUGCCACUUUAGAAAUCAUCUGUCUGAGGCACCCCAGUGGGUGAGACAAUGAAUCACCGUGCACACAGUCCCAGUUCUCAUCCCUUUCCUGGAAUCCAGGGGGCACUCUGUAUACUCAACUUUACUCAUCAUCCCCCUUCCUUAAACAUGGAAAAGUUCACAUUCUGUUAAAGAAAUAAAUCUGAGAGGAAAAAUGAAAGAAUUUUUCAUGACUUCCUCGAGCUCCUUUAUUUUGUUAAUGAUAUUUUCUACCCAAGAAGGUGUUGUUCUCUUGGGUCUUAAGGAAUGCAUGCUGUCUAAUACCACGAAGGAGGAAGAAGACACCAGUGUUAAAUUGGCCCACUUGAGAAACUUCGUCAUCAACAUAGACAAGUCUCGUUAGGCUAACUCAGUGGUUUUUCAUCACAAUCCUGUUCUUUUGGACCCACAGUCAAACCUCUUUUCUCAGACCUUGAAAUCCUCCAGGGCCUCUCUGCAGGAGAGAAGUCAGAGGUUCUCUGAGAAAGAUGCAAGAGAAACAAACGCCGUGACUCUAAAGUGAAGACUCUGUUUCCAUGGCCUGCCCCAGUGUAGACCGGAGGCAUGACAGACUGAGUGACAGAACAGAUCGCAGGAAUGCAUUCCAUUAUCUUCGGAAUCACAGACCCAUAAAACAUCUGGCUUCCGGGUGCAUCACCAACAUGUGGGCCAGCAACUCAAAUCUGCUUCGUUCUGACGGAAAAGACAGUAUGCUUUUAUGUUUGAAUUGUAUUGUCAAGGUGAUGUGCAGAGGGGUUACAGUUACAAACAUAAGUACCCAAAUAAGAAUAGGAGAGUGAGUAGUGACCCCUUGAGACUGUUGAAGUUAUUCAUUGUCCUCAGAAUCAUGGAUACAUCAAGCAGUGCAAGAAGGUGAACCAACAUUCCACAUCUCUUCACCAAGUCACAGAUCAGCCAACAACCAGAAUCAAAGCCUGAAAACUCUUCCAUCAGACACAAGCGCUCUGCAGGGUUGACUAUGGAGGGAAGGAAAGUGUGGGACAAGCCAGGUGGCAGUGGAUCUUGCCUUUCAUCCUAGCUGCUCAGGAAAAUUACAGUUCCAA